AUUGAACGCUGGCGGCAGGCCUAACACAUGCAAGUCGAGCGGAUGAAGGGAGCUUGCUCCUGGAGUCAGCGGCGGACGGGUGAGUAAUGCCUAGGAAUCUGCCUGGUAGCGGGGGAUAACGUCCUGAAACGGGCGCUAAUACCGCAUACGGCCUUAUGGAGAAAGUGGGGGAUCUUCGGACCUCACGCUAUCAGAUGACCCUAGGUCGGAUUAGCUAGUUGGUGGGGUAAAGGCCUACCAAGGCGACGAUCCGUAACUGGUCUGAGAGGAUGAUCAGUCACCCUGGAACGGAGACACGGUCCAGACUCCUACGGGAGGCAGCAGUGGGGAAUAUUAGACAAUGGGCGAAAGACUGAUCCAGCCAUGCCGCGUGUGUGAAGAAGGUCUUCGGAUUGUAAAGCACUUUAAGUUGGGAGGAAGGGCAGUAAGUUAGUACCUUGCUGUUUUGACGUUACCAACAGAAUAAGCACCGGCUAACUUCGUG
rnacentral:rRNA from 1 species